rnacentral:rRNA from 1 species
CAGCCGCCGCGGUAAUACGGAGGAUCCAAGCGUUAUCCGGAAUCAUUGGGUUUAAAGGGUCCGUAGGCGGUCUUGUAAGUCAGUGGUAAAAGCCCAUCGCUCAACGGUGGAACGGCCAUUGAUACUGCAGGACUUGAAUUAUUGGGAAGUAACUAGAAUAUGUAGUGUAGCGGUGAAAUGCUUAGAGAUUACAUGGAAUACCAAUUGCGAAGGCAGGUUACUACCAAUUGAUUGACGCUGAUGGACGAAAGCGUGGGUAGCGAACAGGAUUAGAUACCCGAGUAGUCCCUGUCUCUUAUAC